rnacentral:rRNA from 1 species
UACGUAGGGUGCGAGCGUUAAUCGGAAUUACUGGGCGUAAAGCGUGCGCAGGCGGUUUUGUAAGCCAGGUGUGAAAUCCCCGGGCUCAACCUGGGAAUGGCAUUUGGGACUGCAAGGCUGGAGUGCGGCAGAGGAGACUGGAAUUCCUGGUGUAGCAGUGAAAUGCGCAGAUAUCAGGAAGAACACCCGUGGCGAAGGCGGCUCUCUGGAACGCAACUGACGCUGAGACGCGAAAGCGUGGGGAGCAAACAGG